rnacentral:lncRNA from 1 species
ACUGUGAGGAAUAACGGGAAUUGAAGAGCCCUAAUUAGCUAACCAAAAAAAAAAAAAUGUUUAUUUAAGCAUAACCAAAACCAGCUCUCCCGAAAAGAUGGGCAUUUUAUUUUGGAUAUUUUGAUGGCAUGACAAAUCAGAAAGAAGAGGAUGUACUGUAUGACUAGACACAAGAUCAGUUCUGUUUGUGGAUUACAUUUUCAGUAAGAUGUGAAAGAUGUGUUAAUGAAGAACUU